rnacentral:lncRNA from 10 species
CUCGGAGAGCGGGGGCGGGACCAGGAGGGCGAGGGGCGGGGCCUGAGGCUCGAGUCGCGGCGCCUGGGGCGGUGGCCGCCGGACCAAAGCUGGCCUCUCCCGGCUCCUCCUCCUCGCUCCCCAAGGCCUUUCCCACCGCGUCAUUGUCUCGGUUUAUCUGCAGAUACGUCUACCUAGCAGUCAGCCCAGCAGCGUAAGUGGUGACCAGUGUGGGCCUCUUUGAUCCUGAGACCGAAGGCUCGGCCACUGGCCCUCUCCAUUUGUUCCUUGUUGCCCUCCCUUCAUGAUUCAAUCCAUUAAUUAGGACUUUUCCUACCAGCUGGCAGUUCAGAGCUCCGCAUCCCCAGGCCUCUGAGUCACAGUUCCUGCCUUCAUGAAACUAGGAGUUGGGGCCACUGCAUUCUACUCCUUCGGGACUAUUGUUUCAUUUCUCAGUCCCUCAAACCCUUUAUUGGAUGAACAUGGGGUUAGGACAGCGGUUCUCCACUGCAACAGUUUUGCCUCCCAGGAGACAUUUGGCAAUGUAUGAAUCAUUUUCAGCCUCUCAUCUGGGGUGAGAUGUCAUUGGAAUCUACAGAUGGUGGAGGGCACAGGUUCACUUGGCAAUGAGGAGCCCAAGAUAACCAGGAGACAGUCUCAACUUCUGGUUUAAUGGAACCAUUGGCUCACACCACGGCUCUGUACCAAGGGCUUGGACCCGCCUGCAGCCAGACGGCAUCUCACUAGAUGUCAUCAUCAUCAAAGAGAUCUUCAAAACCAUUUAAAAAGUCUACAUGAACAGCCUUUUCAUUAGUUGCCAAGUCCAUCAAGAACCUGGUGCUGCCUCCCGCCUCGUCCAGGUCCACGUAGGGCCCGGCGCCCUUGGAAACAUCUCAUCCACGGCCAGCUACAUCUUGGGCUGCGGCGCUCUAGGCCCACUUCCGGCCACGGGGCCGCUUCCUAUUUUUCUAUUUUUUAACAACUCCCCAUAUUAAUAUUCAUUCACUCAUUGACUGUUAAGCCCUUCUAUGUAUCAGGAAUUGUUCUAGGUACUAGGACAUAUCAGUUAAGAAAACAUUUGUUAAUCCUUGCCUUCAUGUAGUUUAUUAGAUUGUGAACAGAUCAGAAAAAAACAUGUAAAAAAUUAUAAAAUGUUAGGUGAUCAAAGUUAUGGUGAAAAACAGGAAAGGGAAGAGGCAGAAGGAGUGUUGAGGUGCAGUGUUAAAUAGAGUAGUCAGAGAAGACCUCUCUGAAAUGUCAUUUGAGUUAAAUUCUGAAAGGUGUGAGGAAGUCAGCCUUGUGACUAUGUCUAGAGGAAGAGCAUUCCAAGAAAAUAAAACUGUCAGAGUGGCUUGGUGAUGCCUGAAAAUGCAUUUUACUAUUUUUGUACACGUCUGAAAUUUUCCAUGAAACAAGUUAAAAAAAAAAGUAGCCCUGGUAAAAGGGAGGUUGAAGCGGGCGGAUCACUUGAGGUCAGGAGUUGGA